GAAGAAGAAGGAGAUGAAUAAGGAAUCAGGGAGUGGAAUUUAUGUGAAAGUGAGCAUGGAUGGAGCUCCAUACCUGAGGAAGAUUGAUCUCAAAGCUUUACCACAGCUAUCAACAGCUUUUGGAUACCUUGGAAAACAUGUUCAACUUCAAACAUGGGAGAUCUUCAGAGAGAGAAGGAUACAGUGGGUGUGAUUGUGUUCUAACUUAUGAAGAUAAAGAUGGUGAUUGGAUGCUGGUCGGAGAUGUUUCAUGGGAGCGAGUCUCUCCACAUCUCAUCAUUUUUUCUCUAUUUUUUUUUUCAAGAACUCAAAAGUCUAAGCAAAUGAUGAAUCACGGCAAAUUUAAUCAUUUAUUAACGGUUUAAUCUUUUUUUUUCCCUCUCUUUUUCUGUGGAUACAGUAUGUUUAUCUCUUGUUCCAAGAGGCUGAAAGGAGCAGAUGCCAGAGGAUUAAGUUGUUUAUAGAAAAAUAAUAAUAGUAAUUAAAAAGGAGGUUUUUGUCUCAAAUUCAAUCUUAUCAUUCUCAAUUAUCUACAGAUGUUGUGUUUUUGUAUGAUUCUUUGUAAAGCUACUCAGCAAAAGAAAAUAAAAAAAGAAAAAAGAAGAAGCUACUUGAGAUCUAA